UACAGAGGUGGCAAGCGUUGUUCGGAAUUACUGGGCGUAAAGGGCGCGUAGGCGGCCAUCUAAGUCAGACGUGAAAUCCCCCGGCUUAACCUGGGAACUGCGUCUGAUACUGGAAGGCUUGAGUAUGGGAGAGGGAUGUAGAAUUCCAGGUGUAGCGGUGAAAUGCGUAGAUAUCUGGAGGAAUACCGGUGGCGAAGGCAAUCCCCUGGGCCUGCACUGACGCUCAUGCACGAAAGCGUGGGGAGCAAACAGG
rnacentral:rRNA from 1 species